UUGGCUCCUGGCUUUCACGGGUACAGGGAUUAGGGUUCGAUUCUGGAGAAGGAGCCUGAGAACGGCUACUACAUCUACGGAAGGCAGCAGGCGCGUAAUUAAAUCUCUGACUCAGGGAGGUGGUGACAAGAUAUAACAACGCAAUUUCAUUGUGAUUGUAGUGAGGGUAUUCCAAACCGAACCACUAGUACGAUUAGAGGGCAAGUCUGGUGCCAGCAGCCGCGGUAAUUCCAGCUCUAAUAGCGUAUAUUAAAGUUGCUGCAGUUAAAAAGCUCGUAGUUGGAUUUCAAGGAUUGUGUACUCUCUCUAGGGUUUGCACCCUACUAGUCUUUGACUUGUUACUGUGAGAAAAUUAGAGUGUUUAAAGCACGCUAUUGCAAGAAUACAUUAGCAUGGAAUAACGAAUGUAUCUAGAAUCUUGGUUAAUCUAGGCUCGACACAGAGACACCGGGGGCAUUAGUAUUUAAUUGUCAGAGUGAAUUCUUGGAUUUGUUAACUACUAUCGUAUGCGAAGCAUUUGCCAAGGAUGUUUUCAUUAAUCCACCACCGACACACUACGCGAUCAAGACAAUCAGAUACUGUCGUAGUCCUAUCUAUAACUAUGCCGACUAGGGAUUGGAGUGGAAUAUUCACCAUUUCAGUACCUUAUGGAGAAAUCAAGUCUUUGGGUCCGGGGGGAGUAUGUCCCCAGACUGAAACUUAAGGAAUUGACGUGACCACAGGAAUGGGCUGCGGCUUAUUGACUCAACGGCA
rnacentral:rRNA from 1 species